CCUUGACCUCAAAUCGGGUGAGACUACCCGCUGAACUUAAGCAUAUCAAUAAGCGGAGGA
rnacentral:rRNA from 1 species